UACGUAGGGAGCAAGCGUUGUCCGGAAUCAUUGGGCGUAAAGCGCGCGUAGGCGGCCCUGUAAGUCCGUUGUGAAAGUCAAAGGCUCAACCUUUGAAAGCCGAUGGAUACUGCAGGGCUAGAGUCCGGAAGAGGCGAGUGGAAUUCCUGGUGUAGCGGUGGAAUGCGCAGAUAUCAGGAGGAACACCAAUAGCGAAGGCAGCUCGCUGGGACGGUACUGACGCUAAGGCGCGAAAGCGUGGGGAGCAAACAGGG
rnacentral:rRNA from 1 species